UGAAGAAUUUACCUAGUGGAUUUGAUUCCUAUUAGCAAUCUGGGAUGAAAACCCUAGAUUGCAACCUUUCAAGGUAGGACAAAAACCCUCCUUCAACCUUCCUUCCAUGCAACUUUCCUUGCAUUCAAUCUCAUUCCUUGGGCGGUUUGCUGGUUUAACUGGCUAAUUCACUCGCUUCAAUGGUAGUGAACCAAUUCAGAGACAACUUGUGGCAUUAUUAAUCACUGGUCACCAAUAAUGGGGUUCAUCUCUCAUCUGAGUGCCAUGUGGAGGGAUUUUAUUAUCAUUCAAAGUACAUUCAUUGGAGUGUGAUUAGGGUGGUUGGUUGGACAGCCAUUUCUAGGACAGUGCUUAGGGUUUGCAGGAUUCAAUUGUACAGGACAGAAAAUAUUCUUCAAAAAGAGGAAACAAACUUCCAGGAGCCAACAUUGGACCCCAGAUUUCGAGAGAGAGAUACCACUUAUUGCAUCUAUAAACAGCAUGAAGAACUAUAGUAUGGUUUUAAUAUUCUUAUUUUUGGCUGUAUAUUUCACUGCUACUUGUGUAUAAUGAAUUUGAUAGCUAUUAAAGACUAUGGAAAGCAAUAUUUCAUAAGUAUAUGAGUACUAUUACUAUGGAAACAGGUUACAAACAACAUUUAUUUAGUCUAUGGUAAAGACGCGUGAAAAUUAGUGAGAUUA